rnacentral:rRNA from 1 species
GAUGAACGCUAGCGGGAGGCUUAAUACAUGCAAGUCGAACGGUAAGGUCUAGCUUGCUAGAUACACGAGUGGCGAACGGGUGCGUAACGCGUACACAACUUACCUCUAAGUAGAGAAUAGCCCCGGGAAACUGGGAUUAAUACUCUAUAUUAUUAUGGAAUGGCAUCGUUCUAUAAUGAAAGCUCCGGCGCUUAGAGAUGGGUGUGCGUCUUAUUAGCUAGUUGGUAGGGUAACGGCCUACCAAGGCAACGAUAAGUAGGGGGCGUGAGAGCGUGAUCCCCCACACGGGCACUGAGACACGGGCCCGACUCCUACGGGAGGCAGCAGUAAGGAAUAUUGGUCAAUGGAGGAAACUCUGAACCAGCCAUCCCGCGUGCAGGAUGAAUGCCCUCUGGGUUGUAAACUGCUUUUAUGAGAGAAGAAACCGCCCGAUUCAUCGGGUGCUGACGGUAUCUCAUGAAUAAGCACCGGCUAACUCCG